UUGGUACCGUCAAGGAACGAGGUUAUUAACCUUAUUCUUUUCUUCCCAAUUGAAAGUGCUUUACAACCCAAGGCCUUCUUCACACACGCGGCAUUGCUGGAUCAGGCUUGCGCCCAUUGUCCAAUAUUCCCCA
rnacentral:rRNA from 1 species